rnacentral:rRNA from 1 species
UACGUAGGGGGCAAGCGUUGUCCGGAGUUACUGGGCGUAAAGCGCACGCAGGCGGUCUCUUAAGUUUGGAGUGACAGUUGGUGGCUUAACUGCCAAAGUGCUUCGAAAACUGAGAGACUUGAGGGCUUCAGAGGGACACGGAAUUCCUGGUGGAGUGGUGAAAUGCGUAGAGAUCCGGAGGAACACCAAAGGCGAAGGCAGUGUCCUGGGGAGUACCUGACGCUCAGGUGCGAAAGCCAGGGGAGCGAACGGG